GCACAAGCAGUGGAGUAUGUGGUUUAAUUCGAAGCAACGCGAAGAACCUUACCAGGUCUUGACAUCGGAUGCAUACCUAAGAGAUUAGGGAAGUCCUUCGGGACAUCGAGACAGGUGGUGCAUGGUUGUCGUCAGCUCGUGUCGUGAGAUGUUGGGUUAAGUCCCGCAACGAGCGCAACCCUUAUUGCCAGUUACUACGUUAAGAGGACUCUGGCGAGACUGCCGUUGAUAAAA
rnacentral:rRNA from 1 species